rnacentral:tRNA from 1 species
AGGGGCUUAGCCAAGUGGUUAAGGCAAUCGGCUUUCUACCGAUGAUCGCGAGUUCAAAUCUCGUAGCCCCUACCA